CCUACGGGAGGCAGCAGUGGGGAAUCUUGCGCAAUGGGCGAAAGCCUGACGCAGCAACGCCGCGUGCGGGACGAAGGCCCUCGGGUUGUAAACCGCUUUCAGCAGGGACGAUGAUGACGGUACCUGCAGAAGAAGCCCCGGCCAACUACGUGCCAGCAGCCGCGGUAAUACGUAGGUGGCAAGCGUUGUCCGGAAUUAUUGGGCGUAAAGCGCGCGCGGGCGGUCCUUUAAGUCUGAUGUGAAAGCCCACGGCUCAACCGUGGAGGGUCAUUGGAAACUGGGGGACUUGAGUACAGAAGAGGAAAGCGGAAUUCCACGUGUAGCGGUGAAAUGCGUAGAGAUGUGGAGGAACACCAGUGGCGAAGGCGGCUUUCUGGUCUGUAACUGACGCUGAGGCGCGAAAGCGUGGGGAGCAAACAGGAUUAGAUACCCUGGUAGUCCACGCCGUAAACGAUGAGUGCUAAGUGUUAGGGGGUUUCCGCCCCUUAGUGCUGCAGCUAACGCAUUAAGCACUCCGCCUGGGGAGUACGGCCGCAAGGCUGAAACUCAAAGGAAUUGACGG
rnacentral:rRNA from 1 species